GACAGAGGGUGCAAACGUUGCUCGGAAUCACUGGGCGUAAAGGGCGUGUAGGCGGGACGGUAAGUCGGGCGUGAAAUCCCUAGGCUCAACCUAGGAACUGCACUCGAAACUACCAUUCUUGAGUGUCGGAGAGGAAAGCGGAAUUCCUGGUGUAGAGGUGAAAUUCGUAGAUAUUCGGAGGAACACCAGUGGCGAAGGCGGCUCACUGGUCCAUUACUGACGCUGAGGUGCGAAAGCGUGGGGAGCAAACAGG
rnacentral:rRNA from 1 species